rnacentral:rRNA from 1 species
AGCGUUAUCCGGAUUCACUGGGUUUAAAGGGUGUGCAGGUGGGGUAAUAAGUCAGUGGUGAAAGCCCCCGACUCAAUCGGGGAACUGCAAUAGAUACUGUUAUUCUUGAGUGUGGUUGAGGCGGAUGGAAUAUGACAUGUAGCGGUGAAAUGCUUAGAUAUGUCAUAGAACACCGAUCGCGAAGGCAGUCCGCCAAACCAUUACUGACACUGAAACACGAAAGUGCGGGGAUCAAACAGGAUUAGAUACCCUGGUAGUCCGCACUGUAAACRAUGAUCACUCGUUGUUGGCGAUACACAGUCAGCGACUAAGCGAAAGCAUUAAGUGAUCCACCUGGGAAGUACGACCGCAAGGUUG